rnacentral:rRNA from 1 species
GAUGAACGCUGGCGGCGUGCCUAAUACAUGCAAGUCGAGCGAACAGACGAGGAGCUUGCUCCUCUGACGUUAGCGGCGGACGGGUGAGUAACACGUGGAUAACCUACCUAUAAGACUGGGAUAACUUCGGGAAACCGGAGCUAAUACCGGAUAAUCUCUUGAUCCUAAUGAUUCAAUAGUGAAAAAUGGAUUUGUUGACAUUUAUAGCUGGAUCCGCGCCGUGUUAGGUAGUUGGUAAGGUAACGGCUUACCAGGGAACCGAUCCAGGGCCCACCUGCGAGGGUGAGCGGCCACACGGAAACAGAGACACGCCCCACACCCUACGGGAGGAAGCAGUAGGGAAUCUUCCGCAAUGGGCGAAAUCUGGACGGAGCACCGCCGCGUGGUUGAGGAAGGUCUUCGGACCUUAAAACUCUGUUAUUAGGGAAGAACAAAUGGGUAAUUAACUAUGCACGUCUUGACGGUACCUAAUCAGAAAGCCACGGCUAACUACGUG